rnacentral:rRNA from 1 species
GGGGUGCAGCAGGCGCGAAACCUUAGCAAUGUGCGAAAGCACGACUGGGUCAGUCCGAGUGAUUCCUGAUAAAGGAGUCUUUUACUUGUCCUAAAAGCACAGGUGAAUAAGGGGUGGGCAAGUCUGGUGUCAGCCGCCGCGGUAAUACCAGCACCUCGAGUGGUCAGGACGUUUAUUGGGCCUAAAGCAUCCGUAGCCGGCUUUGCAAGUCUUCGGUUAAAUCCACCUGCUCAACAGAUGGGCUGCUGGAGAUACUACAGAGCUAGGGAGUGGGAGAGGCAGACGGUAUUCAGUGGGUAGGGGUAAAAUCCUCUGAUCCAUUGAGGACCACCAGUGGCGAAGGCGGUCUGCCAGAACACGUUCGACGGUGAGGGAUGAAAGCUGGGGGAGCAAACCGGAUUAGAUACCCGGGUAGUCCCAGCUGUAAACGAUGCAAACUCGGUGAUGCAUUGGCUUAUGGCCAAUGCAGUGCCGCAGGGAAGCCGUUAAGUUUGCCGCCU